CGCUGGCGGCAGGCCUAACACAUGCAAGUCGAGGGGGAAGCCACUUUCGGGUGGUGGAGACCGGCGCACGGGUGAGUAACGCGUGGGAAUUUACCCCGGGGUGGGGAAUAACCGCUGGAAACGGCGGCUAAUACCGCAUACGCCUUUCGAGGGAAAGCUUUAGUGCCCUGGGAUGAGCCCGCGUUAGAUUAGGUAGUUGGUGGGGUAAAGGCCUACCAAGCCAUCGAUCUAUAGCUGGUCUGAGAGGAUGAUCAGCCACACUGGGACUGAGACACGGCCCAGACUCCUACGGGAGGCAGCAGUGGGGAAUAUUGGACAAUGGGGGCAACCCUGAUCCAGCCAUGCCGCGUGCGUGAAGAAGGCCUUAGGGUUGUAAAGCGCUUUCACUGGUGAAGAUGAUGACGGUAGCCAGAGAAGAAGCCCCGGCUAACUCCGUGCCAGCAGCCGCGGUAAUACGGAGGGGGCAAGCGUUGUUCGGAAUUACUGGGCGUAAAGGGCGCGUAGGCGGGAAGUCAAGUUAGGGGUGAAAGGCCUGGGCUCAACCUAGGAACUGCCUCUAAAACUGGCUAUCUAGAGUCCGGGAGAGGAUGGCGGAAUUCCCAGUGUAGAGGUGAAAUUCGUAGAUAUUGGGAAGAACACCAGUGGCGAAGGCGGCCAUCUGGUCCGGCACUGACGCUGA
rnacentral:rRNA from 1 species